CCCUUGGAUGUUCUGGGCCGCACGCGCGCUACACUGACGAAUGCAACGAGCUUAUAACCUUGGCCGAAAGGUCUGGGUAAUCUCCAAAUUUCGUCGUGAUGGGGAUAGAUUAUUGCAAUUAUUAAUCUUCAACGAGGAAUGCCUAGUAAGCGCAAGUCAUCAGCUUGCGUUGAUUACGUCCCUGCCCUUUGUACACACCGCCCGUCGCUCCUACCGAUUGAAUGGUCCGGUGAAGCGUUCGGACCGUGGCCUUUGGACGGUUCGCCGUCUGUUGGCUGCGGGAAGUUCGUUAAACCUUAUCAUUUAGAGGAAGGAGAANUCGUAACA
rnacentral:rRNA from 1 species